rnacentral:rRNA from 1 species
UACGUAGGGUGCAAGCGUUAAUCGGAAUUACUGGGCGUAAAGCGCGCGUAGGCGGCUUCGUAAGUCGGGUGUGAAAGCCCGAGGCUCAACCUCGGAACUGCCUUCGAUACUGCGGGUCUCGAGUCCGGGAGAGGUGAGUGGAAUUCCUAGUGUAGAGGUGAAAUUCGUAGAUAUUAGGAAGAACACCAGUGGCGAAGGCGGCUCACUGGCCCGGUACUGACGCUGAGGCGCGAAAGCUAGGGGAGCGAACGGG